UUGGACCUACGGGGGGCAGCAGUGGGGAAUAUUGGACAAUGGGGGAAACCCUGAUCCGGCGACGCCGCGUGAGUGAAGAAGUAUUUCGGUAUGUAAAGCUCUAUCAGCAGGGAAGAAAAUGACGGUACCUGACUAAGAAGCCCCGGCUAACUACGUGCCAGCAGCCGCGGUAAUACGUAGGGGGCAAGCGUUAUCCGGAUUUACUGGGUGUAAAGGGAGCGUAGACGGCUGUGCAAGUCUGAAGUGAAAUGCAGGGGCCCAACCCCGGAACUGCUUUGGAAACUGCACAGCUAGAGUGAAGGAGG
rnacentral:rRNA from 1 species